UGGGGAAUCUUGCACAAUGGGCGAAAGCCUGAUGCAGCGACGCCGCGUGGGGGAUGAAGCAUUUCGGUGUGUAAACCCCUUUCGAUCCGGACGAAACCCCGCAAGGGAUUGACGGUACGGAUAUAAGAAGCCCCGGCUAACUACGUGCCAGCAGCCGCGGUAAGACGUAGGGGGCCAGCGUUGUUCGGAAUUACUGGGUGUAAAGGGUUCGUAGGCGGUGCGGCAAGUUGGGAGUGAAAUCUCUGGGCUUAACCCAGAGGCUGCUUCCAAAACUGCUGUGCUUGAGUGUGGGAGAGGCGCGUGGAAUUGCAGGUGUAGCGGUGAAAUGCGUAGAUAUCUGCAGGAACACCCGUGGCGAAAGCGGCGCGCUGGACCACUACUGACGCUGAGGAACGAAAGCUAGGGGAGCAAACAG
rnacentral:rRNA from 1 species